rnacentral:rRNA from 1 species
UACGUAGGGGGCAAGCGUUGUCCGGAAUCAUUGGGCGUAAAGAGCGUGUAGGCGGCUUGGCAAGUCUGGUGUGAAAUCUUGCGGCUCAACCGCAAGCGGUCACUGGAAACUGCCUCGCUAGAGUCCGGAAGAGGAGAGCGGAAUUCCUGGUGUAGCGGUGGAAUGCGCAGAUAUCAGGAGGAACACCAAUGGCGAAGGCAGCUCGCUGGGACGUGACUGACGCUGAGACGCGAAAGCGUGGGGAGCAAACAGG